GGUGUUCUACCCAGACUGGUUAUGACCAGAGCCUCCUUGCAACCCACUACUAUCUCAUUGCUCCUAACGUCCACAACCAGACUGCUGUCAGCCAGACGGUGACCAUCAGCUCGGUGUGGACAUCAGUAGGUAUUAGAGAAGGGAAGUGCUUUUUGAAUCCAACGUGUGACCCAGGGGGGGUCUCCUUUAGUUGGCUGCAGGGCUGCUGCAGAGUGUUGACCACCAGAGCAUCCCCAGCCUCCCUGCCUCAGAGGUGCUCCAGAAACUGCUUUGGCCCCCGCAGCGCGACUGGAAGCAUCAUCUCCAGGCUGAAUCUCGCCCGGUUUUUAAACAGAAACAACCUUCACUCAUGCAGCAUGACCUCACAGCAAAUAGUCCAAAGAAGGAUCUCAGACCCCAACAUCUUGUGAAAGCUUGAAGAAGUGGACAGAAUGCUCGG
ensembl:lncRNA